GUCAAGCCACGAAAGUCGGAAGCACCCGAAGUCGCCGAUCGAACCCGCAAGGGACGAAGGCGCCGAAGGUGAGUUCGAUGAUUGGGACUAAGUCGUAACAAGGUAGCCGUAGGGGAACCUGCGGCUGGAUCACCUCCUUU
rnacentral:rRNA from 1 species